rnacentral:rRNA from 1 species
UACGUAGGUGGCAAGCGUUGUCCGGAUUUAUUGGGUUUAAAGGGUGCGUAGGCGGCUUGAUAAGUCAGUGGUGAAAGCCGAUCGCUUAACGAUCGAACUGCCAUUGAUACUGCCAGGCUUGAGUAUAGUUGAGGUAGGCGGAAUUGACAGUGUAGCGGUGAAAUGCAUAGAUAUUGUCAAGAACACCAAUUGCGAAGGCAGCUUACUAAAGUAUAACUGACGCUGAGGCACGAAAAGUGCGGGGAUCAAAACAGG